CUCAGAACGAACGCUGGCGGCAGGCUUAACACAUGCAAGUCGAACGCCCCGCAAGGGGAGUGGCAGACGGGUGAGUAACGCGUGGGAACAUACCCUUUCCUGCGGAAUAGCUCCGGGAAACUGGAAUUAAUACCGCAUACGCCCUACGGGGGAAAGAUUUAUCGGGGAAGGAUUGGCCCGCGUUGGAUUAGCUAGUUGGUGGGGUAAAGGCCUACCAAGGCGACGAUCCAUAGCUGGUCUGAGAGGAUGAUCAGCCACAUUGGGACUGAGACACGGCCCAAACUCCUACGGGAGGCAGCAGUGGGGAAUAUUGGACAAUGGGCGCAAGCCUGAUCCAGCCAUGCCGCGUGAGUGAUGAAGGCCUUAGGGUUGUAAAGCUCUUUCACCGGAGAAGAUAAUGACGGUAUCCGGAGAAGAAGCCCCGGCUAACUUCGUGCCAGCAGCCGCGGUAAUACGAAGGGGGCUAGCGUUGUUCGGAAUUACUGGGCGUAAAGCGCACGUAGGCGGAUAUUUAAGUCAGGGGUGAAAUCCCAGAGCUCAACUCUGGAACUGCCUUUGAUACUGGGUAUCUUGAGUAUGGAAGAGGUAAGUGGAAUUCCGAGUGUAGAGGUGAAAUUCGUAGAUAUUCGGAGGAACACCAGUGGCGAAGGCGGCUUACUGGUCCA
rnacentral:rRNA from 1 species